rnacentral:tRNA from 1 species
GCGCAUGUGGUGAAAUGGCAGACACAUUAGACUUAGGAUCUAAUGCCGAAAGGCGUGGGGGUUCGAGUCCCUCCAUGCGCA